UACGUAGGGGGCCAGCGUUGUCCGGAUUUAUUGGGCGUAAAGCGCACGCAGGCGGCCUGGCAAGUCGGUCGUGAAAUCCUCCGGCUCAACUGGAGGGGGUCGGCCGAAACUGCCAGGCUCGAGGUCGGAAGGGGGAAGCGGAAUUCCCGGUGUAGUGGUGGAAUGCGUAGAUAUCGGGAGGAACACCAGUGGCGAAGGCGGCUUCCUGGUCCGACACUGACGCUGAGGUGCGAAAGCGUGGGGAGCGAUCCGG
rnacentral:rRNA from 1 species